UCUGUGUUCCCCAGGUGUAUAACAUUACAGUAGACCCCUACCAGGUCAUUAGUAAUAACUAACUCUGUGUUCCCCAGGUGUAUAACAUUACAGUAGACCCCUACCAGGUCAUUAGUAAUAACUAACUCUGUGUUCCCCAGGUAUAUAACAUUACAGUAGACCCCUACCAGGUCAUUAGUAAUAACUAACUCUGUGUUCCCCAGGUGUAUAACAUUACAGUAGACCCCUACCAGGUCAUUAGUAAUAACUAACUCUGUGUUCCCCAGGUAUAUAACAUUACAGUAGACCCCUACCAGGUCAUUAGUAAUAACUAACUCUGUGUUCCCCAGGUGUAUAACAUUACAGUAGACCCCUACCAGGUCAUUAGUAAUAACUAACUCUCUCUCUGUGUUCCCCAGGUGUAUAACAUUACAGUAGACCCCUACCAGGUCAUUAGUAAUAACUAACUCUGUGUUCCCCAGGUGUAUAACAUUACAGUAGACCCCUACCAGGUCAUUAGUAAUAACUAACUCUCUGUGUUCCCCAGGUAUAUAACAUUACAGUAGACCCCUACCAGGUCAUUAGUAAUAACUAACUCUCUCUCUGUGUUCCCCAGGUGUAUAACAUUACAGUAGACCCCUACCAGGUCAUUAGUAAUAACUAACUCUGUGUUCCCCAGGUAUAUAACAUUACAGUAGACCCCUACCAGGUCAUUAGUAAUAACUAACUCUCUGUGUUCCCCAGGUAUAUAACAUUACAGUAGACCCCUACCAGGUCAUUAGUAAUAACUAACUCUCUCUCUGUGUUCCCCAGGUGUAUAACAUUACAGUAGACCCCUACCAGGUCAUUAGUAAUAACUAACUCUGUGUUCCCCAGGUGUAUAACAUUACAGUAGACCCCUACCAGGUCAUUAGUAAUAACUAACUCUCUCUCUGUGUUCCCCAGGUGUAUAACAUUACAGUAGACCCCUACCAGGUCAUUAGUAAUAACUAACUCUGUGUUCCCCAGGUAUAUAACAUUACAGUAGACCCCUACCAGGUCAUUAGUAAUAACUAACUCUCUGUGUUCCCCAGGUAUAUAACAUUACAGUAGACCCCUACCAGGUCAUUAGUAAUAACUAACUCUCUCUCUGUGUUCCCCAGGUGUAUAACAUUACAGUAGACCCCUACCAGGUCAUUAGUAAUAACUAACUCUGUGUUCCCCAGGUGUAUAACAUUACAGUAGACCCCUACCAGGUCAUUAGUAAUAACUAACUCUCUCUCUGUGUUCCCCAGGUGUAUAACAUUACAGUAGACCCCUACCAGGUCAUUAGUAAUAACUAACUCUGUGUUCCCCAGGUGUAUAACAUUACAGUAGACCCCUACCAGGUCAUUAGUAAUAACUAACUCUCUCUCUGUGUUCCCCAGGUGUAUAACAUUACAGUAGACCCCUACCAGGUCAUUAGUAAUAACUAACUCUGUGUUCCCCAGGUGUAUAACAUUACAGUAGACCCCUACCAGGUCAUUAGUAAUAACUAACUCUCUGUGUUCCCCAGGUGUAUAACAUUACAGUAGACCCCUACCAGGUCAUUAGUAAUAACUAACUCUCUCUCUGUGUUCCCCAGGUGUAUAACAUUACAGUAGACCCCUACCAGGUCAUUAGUAAUAACUAACUCUGUGUUCCCCAGGUGUAUAACAUUACAGUAGACCCCUACCAGGUCAUUAGUAAUAACUAACUCUCUGUGUUCCCCAGGUAUAUAACAUUACAGUAGACCCCUACCAGGUCAUUAGUAAUAACUAACUCUCUCUCUGUGUUCCCCAGGUGUAUAACAUUACAGUAGACCCCUACCAGGUCAUUAGUAAUAACUAACUCUGUGUUCCCCAG